rnacentral:rRNA from 1 species
AACGAACGCUGGCGGCAUGCCUAACACAUGCAAGUCGAACGAGACCUUCGGGUCUAGUGGCGCACGGGUGCGUAACGCGUGGGAACCUGCCCUUAGGUUCGGAAUAACUCCCCGAAAGGGGUGCUAAUACCGGAUAAUGUCUUCGGACCAAAGAUUUAUCGCCUUUGGAUGGGCCCGCGUUGGAUUAGCUAGUUGGUAGGGUAAAAGCCUACCAAGGCGACGUUCCAUAGCUGGUCUGAUAGGAUGCUCAGCCACACUGGGACUGAGACACGGCCCAGACUCCGACGGGAGGCAGCAGUGGGGAAUAUUGGACGAUGGGGGAAAGCCUGAUCCAGCAGUGCCGCGUGAGUGAGGAAGGCCGUAGGGUUGUAAAGCUCUUUUACCCGGGAUGAUAAUGACAGUACCGGGAGAAUAAGCUCCGGCUAACUCCGUG